CCUAUAAAGCCAAGUACACCAAGUAGUCUUCAAAGAGGAAGUGGGAGAUGAGAUUGUGAGUCAAAUAAGCAAAAAUCUUAACACCAAAGAAACAAACAGUGUAAAAACUAGCUUCCUCAACUGAAGACUGUAUAACUUGAAAUACUAGGUGAUAUGUUUGGGUCCUCAAAAUUCCACAAAAUAAACAUGGUACAUAUUCUAGAACUAUAACUUUAUUCAAUGGCAAUUGACUUGAAAUGUUUUUAGGUGAACACAAAUGUAUUAUGGAGUAGAAUGUAAAUGUGUGGAAUACUUUUCAAAUGAUAGAUGCAAUUGUGUUCUUUGAAAUUAUCUAGAAAUAUGAAAUAAUUGUCCACAAAUAAUAAGAGUAGUUUAUCAGAAAAAUUGCAAAUUAUUUACCAAAACAAAAACACACAGAAUUGAGUCUGGCAGUAGAAUAAAUAUAUUUUUUAAAUAAGAUAAAGAACAGAAAAAUAACUGGAUAAGUAGGUCAUUGAAGCCAUUUUUAUCUCCUGGCACACUGCUACCUACUCCCUAAAUUGCAUUAGAUUUCAUAUAGUAGAAAUAUUAAAAGUUGUUUAAGGUUCCUAAGAAGAAACUACAACACGAAGAUUAAUCUGAUACAAAUAUGCAGGAUGGAAUAACAGGAAGUGGGAGUGGGAGGGAGGGGUGUCUUGGGAGCACUACAGUAAGAGGAUUAUUGCAGGAGUCCAAACUUCCACUGAUGAAGACAUGGAUUGAAAUGAAGCGCGUAUGUGCUCACAGUUAACAACAACAACAAGAAAAGGCUGGAGAAAACAGCGGUAAGAGCACUAUGAGAUAAAUAUGAAGACUAAAUAUACAGUUAACAACAACAACAACAAGAAAAGGCUGGAGAAAACAGAGGUCCUGCUGGUCAUUGAGAGAAAAGGUGUGCACACAGGUUGGGCAAUAAGAGAAUCAAACAGUUCUCCACCAGCCAUUAACACCAGGACUGUAACAAGCCAUUUGUGGAGAUGCAAAUGUGGGUCCACAGGUUAUACUUUGAAUAGCACAUUUCUACGUAAUCUGUGCGCCACUAAAAGGAAGACACAAGCCUCCCAGCCUACCAUCAUUAACUCCUUGUGGAACAAAAUGAAAAAAACAUAGAAACAAAUUUUGUGUGUUCAAAUGCUUAAAACCUAUCUCCCUAACAUUACCAAAGAUUAACUUGGCAAUGCAUACUUACCUCUUACUAAUUUUUUAACAAUAUGUCUUAAGUGGACAGGAACAUAAAUCUUUAACAAUAAAAAAAUUAUUUUCUAAAAUCCAUGUAUUUUGAAAUUCUGAAAGCACUUUGAUAGAUCAGUGUUUGUUCCGUAAAUAUUUGGGACAUAUUAUGUGUUCUAGUUUCUGCCUUAGACAUUGGACCUGCUUAGCCUGAUGUAAAGAAGUUCCCUAUUUAGAAUUCCAUCUAGCAAAAUAUCAGAUGAGGGAUAUUAGUCACUAGAAGAAAAGCCCCCAGAUCUCUAGUGGGUCUGUGAGGAUAGUUCCCAUAGUGACCCCAGGUCUCUAGUGGGUCUGUGAGGAUAGUUCCCAUAGUGACACUAUCAGUGUGAAGUAGGCCAAUUUAAACUGGGUUGCUGCACUGCACAUGAUCAGUUCCCACUGGCUGCUGUGAGCAAAGGCUUUACUGCUGUUCCUGCAGGAGUGUGCAUCAAUCAUCAGGUUAAGCCUGCAGGCAGGGUUCUGCCUUUGGUACAGGCCAUGCAUAGGCUUAGACAAGCAACUUGAUAUUUCACAAUGUCACAUAUCAAUGCACUUGAAUUAGUGAAGUAUUUUUGUAGUAUAAAUCAUUUUUCUGAUUAAAGAAAGAAAAUAUUUUUUUCUGGCUUACUAGUUUGAUUAAAAUUAACAAGUAGCUUUUUCAAAUAGCUUGUCGGUUGACUAGUCAAUACCUAGUCUCAUGCAUUUCAUAAGGAUCAGUUAUGACCCUGAAACAUUUUUGGAAGACCAGUCAUAAUUCUAAAUCUUUCUUCAACAACUGAAUAAGAUAUAUUAUAGCCAAUCAAUCUGUUUCCAUGGCAUAAUCUGUAGGCUGACUGUUCUUACGGAGAGUAAAAAUAUAUUGACAUGACAGCCAAAAGUCUAACUCCAUACAAAAGAGGUUUCAAUGGGUAAUCUUAGAGAGAACACAUGAUUAAUAAGGUUAUUAAAGGAGAGCCAUGUGUACAAUAUUUGCUCACCUAAAAUUAUAGUUUUCAAAAUUGAGGCCUCAAAAUGAACCACAUGGAUGGUUUAAAAUUUUCUUUGACAAUUUUUAAAUGUUUUUGAAAAUAACAUAAAAUUGCAAUAAAAUAAGAGCACCCAAUUUACUACAUACAAAAGAAAACAAUGACUAAAUACCAAAAUCAUAAAGCAAAC
rnacentral:lncRNA from 10 species